rnacentral:RNase_P_RNA from 2 species
GAAGCGCGUCGGGUGAUCGCUUCCGUAAAUGGAAGAGGAAAGUCCGAACACCGUAGGGCAGCGAGCCGGAUAACGUCCGGGAGUGCGUGCAAACGUACGACGACAAGUGCAACAGAGAGUAAACCGCCUUCCGCGAAUGCGGACGGUAAGGGUGAAAGGGUGAGGUAAGAGCUCACCGGUGUGGCUGGUAACAGUCACGGCCAGGUAAACUCCUCGUGGUGCAAGGCCAAAUAGGAGAACGCGAUGAACGGCCCGUUCAGUGUCGAAGAAAUUCGACGGCGUUUUCGGGUAGGCCGCUCGAGCUGUUUGGUAACGAACAGCCUAGAUGAAUGAUCGCCACUCGCGAAAGCGAGUACAAGAUUCGGCUUAUAGACGCGCUUCAUUU